ACAUGCCUACAACAUAGCAUUAAUGCACCAGAUCCCAUUAUAACUCCACAGUUAAGCACGCUAGGGCUAGAGUAGUACUGGGAUGGGUGAUUGCCCGAGAAGUCCUAGUAUUUUACAUGCC
rfam:Picea glauca, whole genome shotgun sequence.